rnacentral:tRNA from 1 species
GGCUUUAUAUUCAACAGUGAUUUUAAAUUGCAAAUUUAAAGGUGGAUUUAUUCCUAAGGCUU